rnacentral:rRNA from 1 species
GCUUAGUCGUAAACCAAGGCAGCAACCAAAUUUCGCCUGCCCGCCAGAGUACUACAAGUGAAAAACUUAAAACUCAAAGGACUUGACGGCAUUCCACACCACACUAGAGGAGCCUGUCCUACAACCGAUAACCCACGUUCCACCCCACCUGUCCUAGCACAAACCCAGCCUAUAUACCGCCGUCUACCAGCUCGCCCUGCAAAAGCACCCCAGCGGGCAAACCAGUCCAACACUACUACGUCAGGUCAAGGUGUAGCUAAUGCACAGGCAGAGAUGGGCUACAUUUUCUCCCCAAUAGAAAACCACCACCCGCACCAUGAAACAAGUGCUCAAAGGAGGAUUUAGCAGUAAGCCGCGCAAGCCUGCCCGACUGAACAACGCCAUGGAAUGCGUACAC